UACGUAGGGAGCAAGCGUUGUCCGGAUUGAUUGGGCGUAAAGGGCCCGUAGGUGGUUGGGAAAGUCGAUGGUGAAAUCUCAGAGCUCAACUCUGAUAGGUCUGUCGAUACUUCUCUGACUAGAGUUUGGUAGGGGAUCAUGGAAUUCCAGGUGUAGCGGUGAAAUGCGCAGAUAUCUGGAGGAACACCAAUGGCGAAGGCAGUGAUCUGGGCCAAUACUGACACUGAGGGGCGAAAGCGUGGGGAGCGAACAGG
rnacentral:rRNA from 1 species